rnacentral:lncRNA from 1 species
GAUUUCGUCUUCGCCGUUUUACUAAACAUGCAGCUUUUUAGUAACUACUGCCAAACAUCACUAUACUGCAUAUAAGAUAUAUACAUGUACCCCCCCCUCCCCCCGGAAAAAAAGAAAAAAAAACAACAACAACCAGUACAUCAUUAGAACCCCAAUUUAUUCAUCGUGGAAAUAUUGCGCUUAAAAAGAGGGGCAAGGGGCAAAAGAUAGCAGAUAUCAGAGGGACAUUCAAACUCAUAAAUCGAAAAUAAACUGACAUCGCCAUGGAUAAAAAAGAAAUAGAUAAACAGACAAAAAAUAGUUCACAGAACACAACAUAGGAAACAAGGACUGAGCAACACAAACCCCACCAAAAACUUGGGUGAUCUCAAGUGUUCCGGAAGGGAAAGCAUAUCCUGUUCCACAUGUGGCACCCGUUGUGUUCUCAUAUUACCCAUAAUACCAAUUUGAUUUGAUAGCUUUGUUUUAAUUUCUGUUUCAGACGCGAAUUAUUCAGUUUUUGGUUAAAAUGCAC